UACAGAGGUGGCAAGCGUUGUUCGGAAUUACUGGGCGUAAAGGGCGCGUAGGCGGCCUUCUAAGUCAGACGUGAAAUCCCCCGGCUUAACCCGGGAACUGCGUCUGAUACUGGGAGGCUUGAGUAUGGGAGAGGGAUGUAGAAUUCCAGGUGUAGCGGUGAAAUGCGUAGAUAUCUGGAGGAAUACCGGUGGCGAAGGCGGCAUCCUGGACCAUAACUGACGCUGAGGCGCGAAAGCUAGGGGAGCAAACGGG
rnacentral:rRNA from 1 species